rnacentral:rRNA from 1 species
GAUUAACGCUGGCGGCGUGCAUAACACAUGCAAGUCGAACGAUGAAACUUAAAUGAUUUCUUCGGAAUGAACUUAAGUGGAUUAGUGGCGGACGGGUGAGUAACGCGUGAGUAACCUGCCUUACACAAGGGGAUAGCCGUUGGAAACGACGAAUAAUACCCUAUGAUGUUUCUAUCUCGCAUGAGAUAUUAACCAAAGUGUUAGCGGUGUAAGAUGGACUUGCGUCUGAUUAGCUAGUUGGUGAGAAAAAAGCCCACCAAGGCAACGAUCAGUAGCCGGCUUGAGAGAGUGUACGGCCACAUUGGGACUGGGACACGGCCCAGACUCCUACGGGAGGCAGCAGUGGGGAAUUUUGCACAAUGGGGGAAACCCUGAUGCAGCGACGCCGCGUGAUUGAGAAGGCCUUCGGGUUGUAAAAAUCUUUUGUAUAGGAAGAAAAUGACAGUACUAUACGAAUAAGGUCCGGCUAAGUACGUG